rnacentral:rRNA from 1 species
AUUGAACGCUGGCGGCAGGCCUAACACAUGCAAGUCGAACGAGUGGCGGACGGGUGAGUAAUGUCUGGGAAACUGCCUGAUGGAGGGGGAUAACUACUGGAAACGGUAGCUAAUACCGCAUACCAUCGGAUGUGCCCAGGUGGGAUUAGCUAGUAGGUGGGGUAAAGGCCCACCGAGGCGACGAUCCCUUGCUGGUCUGAGGGGAUGACCAGAGACACUGAAACUGAGGAACGGCCCAGGCUCCUAAGGGAGGCAGCAGGGGGGAAUAGUGCACAAUGGGCGCAAGCCUGAUGCAGCCAUGCCGCUUGUAUGGAGAAGGACGUCGGGUUGUAAGGUACUAUCAGCGGGGAGGCGGUAGCCGCAGAAGAAGCACCGGCUAACUCCGUGCCAGCAGCCGCGGUAAUAC